rnacentral:rRNA from 1 species
GAUGAACGCUGGCGGCGUGCUUAACACAUGCAAGUCGAACGGAAAGGCCAGUGCUUGCACUGGUACUCGAGUGGCGAACGGGUGAGUAACACGUGGGUGAUCUGCCCUGCACUUCGGGAUAAGCCUGGGAAACUGGGUCUAAUACCGGAUAGGGCAAUGGUUUGGAUGCCGUUGUGGAAAGUUUUUUCGGUGUGGGAUGAGCUCGCGGCCUAUCAGCUUGUUGGUGGGGUAAUGGCCUACCAAGGCGUCGACGGGUAGCCGGCCUGAGAGGGUGUACGGCCACAUGGGGACUGAGAUACGGCCCAGACUCCUACGGGAGGCAGCAGGGGGGAAUAUUGCACAAUGGGCGCAAGCCUGAUGCAGCGACGCCGCGUGGGGGAUGACGGCCUUCGGGUUGUAAACUCCUUUCGCUAGGGACGAAGCGUAUUUGUGACGGUACCUGGAGAAGAAGCACCGGCUAACUACGUG